rnacentral:rRNA from 1 species
GACGAACGCUGGCGGCGUGCUUAACACAUGCAAGUCGAACGGAAAGGCCCUGCUUUUGUGGGGUGCUCGAGUGGCGAACGGGUGAGUAACACGUGAGUAACCUGCCCUUGACUUUGGGAUAACUUCAGGAAACUGGGGCUAAUACCGGAUAGGAGCUCCUGCUGCAUGGUGGGGGUGGGAAAGUUUCGGCGGGUGGGGAUGGACUCGCGGCUUAUCAGCUUGUUGGUGGGGUAGUGGCUUACCAAGGCUGUGACGGGUAGCCGGCCUGAGAGGGUGACCGGCCACAUUGGGACUGCGAUACGGCCCAGACUCCUACGGGAGGCAGCAGUGGGGAAUAUUGCACAAUGGGCGGAAGCCUGAUGCAGCAACGCCGCGUGCGGGAUGACGGCCUUCGGGUUGUAAACCGCUUUCGCCUGUGACGAAGCGUGAGUGACGGUAAUGGGUAAAGAAGCACCGGCUAACUACGUG